AUUGAACGCUGGCGGCAUGCUUUACACAUGCAAGUCGAACGGUAACAGGCCGCAAGGUGCUGACGAGUGGCGAACGGGUGAGUAAUGCAUCGGAACGUGCCCAGUCGUGGGGGAUAACGCAGCGAAAGCUGCGCUAAUACCGCAUACGAUCUAUGGAUGAAAGCGGGGAACCGUAAGGCCUCGCGCGAUUGGAGCGGCCGAUGUCAGAUUAGGUAGUUGGUGGGGUAAAGGCUCACCAAGCCAACGAUCGGUAGCUGGUCUGAGAGUACGACCAGCCACACUGGGACUGAGACACGGCCCAAAGUCCUACGGGAGGCAGCAGUGGUGAAUUUUGGACAAUGGGGGGAAGCCUGAUCCAGCAAUGCCGCGUGCAGGAAGACGGCCUUCGGGUUGUAAACUGCUUUUGUACGGAACGAAACGGUCCUGGUUAAUACCUGGGGCUAAUGACGGUACCGUAAGAAUAAGCACCGGCUAACUACGUGCCAGCAGCCGCCGCAGUAA
rnacentral:rRNA from 1 species